CCGUAACAGGGGGAUAACCCGGAGAAAUCCGGACUAAUACCCCAUAAUAUGGGCGCUCCGCAUGGAGAGCCCAUUAAAGAGAGCAAUUUUGGUUACAGACGAGCAUGCGCUCCAUUAGCCAGUUGGCGGGGUAACGGCCCACCAAAGCGACGAUGGAUAGGGGUUCUGAGAGGAAGGUCCCCCACAUUGGAACUGAGACACGGUCCAA
rnacentral:rRNA from 1 species